GACGAACGCUGGCGGCGUGCUUAACACAUGCAAGUCGAGCGGUAAGGCCCUUUCGGGGGUACACGAGCGGCGAACGGGUGAGUAACACGUGGGUGACCUGCCCUCAGCUCUGGGAUAAGCCUGGGAAACCGGGUCUAAUACUGGAUAUGACUCCAUGACGCAUGUUGUGGGGUGGAAAGCCUUGUGCGGCUGAGGAUGGGCCCGCGGCCUAUCAGCUUGUUGGUGGGGUGANGGCCUACCAAGGCGACGACGGGUAGCCGGCCUGAGAGGGCGACCGGCCACACUGGGACUGAGACACGGCCCAGACUUCUACGGGAGGCAGCAGUGGGGAAUCUUGCGCAAUGGGCGAAAGCCUGACGCAGCGACGCCGCGUGAGGGAUGACGG
rnacentral:rRNA from 1 species